rnacentral:rRNA from 1 species
GACGAACGCUGGCGGCGUGCUUAACACAUGCAAGUCGAACGGAGUUAAGGAGCUUGCUUCUUAACUUAGUGGCGAACGGGUGAGUAACGCGUGAGGAACCUGCCUUUCAGUGGGGGACAACAGUUGGAAACGACUGCUAAUACCGCAUGAUACUAUUGAGUGGCAUCACUUGAUAGUCAAAGAUUUAUUGCUGAAAGAUGGCCUCGCGUCUGAUUAGCUAGUUGGUGGGGUAACGGCCCACCAAGGCGACGAUCAGUAGCCGGACUGAGAGGUUGACCGGCCACAUUGGGACUGAGAUACGGCCCAGACUCCUACGGGAGGCAGCAGUGGGGAAUAUUGGGCAAUGGGCGAAAGCCUGACCCAGCAACGCCGCGUGAAGGAAGAAGGGCCCUUCGGGUUGUAAACUUCUUUACCUAGGGACGAACACAAUGACGGUACCUGGAGAAAAAGCAACGGCUAACUACGUG